rnacentral:rRNA from 1 species
GACGUCCCAGUUCGGAUUGUAGUCUGCAACCCGACUACAUGAAGCUGGAAUCGCUAGUAAUUGCAGGUCAGCAUACUGCGGUGAAUACGUUCCCGGGUCCUUGUACACACCGCCCGUCACACCAUGGGAGCCGGAAAUGCCCGAACGCCAGUGACCCAACCUUAGGGAGGGAGCUGUCGAAGGUGGAGCCGGUAACUGGGGUGAAGUCGUAACAAGGUACC